rnacentral:rRNA from 1 species
UACGGAGGGUGCAAACGUUGCUCGGAAUUAUUGGGCGUAAAGCGCACGUAGGCGGUUCAGCAAGUCGGGUGUGAAAGCCCUUGGCUUAACCAAGGAAGUGCAUUCGAAACUACUGGACUUGAAUACUGGAGAGGAUCGCGGAAUUCCCGGUGUAGAGGUGAAAUUCGUAGAUAUCGGGAGGAACACCAGUGGCGAAGGCGGCGAUCUGGACAGAUAUUGACGCUGAUGUGCGAAAGCGUGGGGAGCAAACAGG